CAAUCCAGCUGGCAGUGCCCAUGUGACAAUGAAACACAAGCAGAGGUCUGCCAGAAGGAAUUCUGGAAAAGCUUGGCUUUCUUCAUAUAAGGCUGGCAUCUUAACUCCCCUUCCGGCCUUGAAUUUGAAAGUAAAAUCUGGAUGUCAGAACAGCCAUCUUGCAACCAUGGGGUGAUGAAUAUAAAAGUAAAAGCCAGCACCAGGAGGGAAGCAGUGCCUGUCUUUCCUGGGGACAUUGCAAUGAACUGCGUGUAGGGCCCAGCUGCCUUUAUUCCUUCCCUGGUUUGGGGAUUCUCUGUCUCCCUCUCCUGCCCUGUGGUUGCAAAUGUGGCUCUGGAAGACAGCAAUGAAUCUGCAAGUAAACAGGGAUGGUGACUCACACCUACAAUCCCAGCACUUUGGAAGGCCGAGGCAGACGGAUCACCUGAGGUCAGGAGUUCGAGACCAGCCUGGACAACAUGUCAUGUUGCAGAAUCUUGAUCCAACAUCUGGAAUUUAUGCAGCCAUCUUGUUACCAACUCUAGUAUGAAGACAACAUGAAGAAUGAAAGUAUAGAAAGAUUAUUAAAAAGUAAAUGUCACACUUAGUUUUGAAUAAUAUAUGGUGUCAUGAAUCAACCAAUCUUGGAGUCUGCUUUUCCUCUGAAUGUCAUAGUAAGUGAGAUCAUAAAUAUCCUAGUUCUUUAAGCUAAUUAUAGUAUUUCUAUUAUGGGAAAAGUUUAGAUAUUUUAAAAUCUUUUUACUUAGAAAAGUUUUUGUUUGAGUACUACCUAAGCUAAAAACAAAUAUUCCCAUUGGUUAGAAGCAUAAAGAUCCUGACACUCUUUUGUUGAUACUAAGAUAUAUCCACCUCCUCACACUCACUUUCAGGAAUACACUAUGUGCUUUCGUUCUGCCUUAGAUAAUUUUUGCAUAAAUAUUUUAAAUAGAUUCUAUGACAUAAUUAGUAAGUAAUUUUGUAUAUCAAAUUGCAAUGUAUAUUUUCUUGAAAAAAAAUCCAGAAUACAAUAGUCAUCACCAACUUGAAUUAUUGACAUAUAAAAAUAAAAACCUCAAAAUUGACCUCCAUUAAAAAAAUCCUAAAGUGUUUCAAUAUCUCCUCAAGCAGUCUUUGUCUUUUUUAGUUAUCAAAUUUCUUUAUACACACACACUCACUCCAUACUCUCUGUCUCACAAACACCCCUUUAAAUUCCAACAAUUAUCUUUGGGCUGCCUGCAUAACUUUGAAAUGAGGGGAAUUUGAACUGUGAAGUGGAUUAAAAGGUUAAUUGCCUAAUCUUAGCUUCCUUCCUGAAAAGACUAUUUUGAUCUAUACAGAUUUCCUCUCUGGAGGCUAGGAAUGUUUUGAAAUAUAAUUAAAUAAAUCAGUCUUAUCUCUAAGAUUAACUGCUUUUGCAUAAUAAUUCCAAUGUUAGUAUUUUGACAACUGAUAUUUUUUACAUAAUUGUUUGUGGGGAAAAAAAAGCCUCUGUUUUUAUGCUAUUACAUUUGGAAAAUUAUA